rnacentral:lncRNA from 1 species
GCUUUGCGAGGUUCCUGGCUAGGGAGGCGGCCUUGGCUGGCUUGACCGUCAUCCUUGAGGCCUGCGGGGCAACGGUGGCUGUCCUUGGCCCGGCUUUGGAAUGUGGCUUUGCAGGGCUGGUGUUGGCGCCAUUCUCGCAGGCCCACGUGCUCCUGCUCUUCCAGGGUGUCCUCGGCUGUUUCUCCUGCCGCGGCGCAGCAGCGCUCCCAGGCUGCCCCCGCGAUAACACGCCCCUGGCAGCCAGGCUCCCAGCUCUGUUACGUGCCCGGGCGGGGAAGAGCUUCCUGGUGUCUCCCGGCUCCUGCCCUUCUCCCGCCCCAGGGGCGGGCUGCCGCCGCCCUCUGCAGCUGAGUCAGUGCAGUUCCUCACCUACCUUCUCUGCUCACCGCUGUGUGCUAGCAAUCGGAGGACCCUUGGCACACGGAGCGACAGGGGCCUCCCCCACAGACACCUCAUUUUGGGAAAGAAGAACUUUAUAUGUUAUAGAAGUUAGCCCCAAGAAUGAAAUCGUGUCCUUUGCCAAAACAUGGAUGGAGCUAGAGGCCUUUAUCCUAAGAGAUAGGAUGGAGUGUCACCAAGAUAGAAGACAAAAACAUAAGCUGUGAAAUGUGAUUAUAAAGUAGUGACAUGAGUGCCAGAAACCACGGAGGAAACGUCUCCUUGUUCUGGAUCCACACUUCAUACGUGGUCAUUGAAACGUGGCAUCAAACGGGAGGAAUGUGAUGGGCCAGGUUAGGGGAAGAGCACCAAGCAGGGCCUUUCCCUGGGAGAUGGCACCACGUGACAUGCUUCAUACGGAAGCACAUGGGCCCUCAGCGCUGGUAUCUUGCUUCACCUGGGGAUGGUGAUGAAAUGAUGCAGAGCUGACUCAAUACGAUACAGAGCUGACUCAAUACGAUGUGUGGGAUCUUCCAUCGUGAAGCAGCUGGGAGCACCAGGAGGCAGGUUUUCCCGUGCUUAUGGAAAGCACCACAUUGUUCUGCUGGGGACAUGUUCUUUUACUCCAAGGAGUAGUGGAUGUGCAAUGGGCUGUCCUGCCCGUAGAGAUGUGUGGGGCUGGCUGCUGAGAACAGAUGGCAACUGGCUGGCUCUGAUGCCUCAGAAGAGGUGAAUGCAUUCGGAGAGGCCACAGCUGAGAGUCCCUCAAACUGGGGAGUUAUUAUUCUAAAAGUUGGAUUUUUAGCAAGAUUUUACCAGGUGAGGCUGAUUAAAUGAUGGUGGCAGGGGCGGGGAGAAAAACAAAUAAAAGUGAGUUGAAGUCAA